AUACGGAGGAUCCGAGCGUUAUCCGGAUUUAUUGGGUUUAAAGGGUGCGCAGGCGGGAGAUUAAGUCGGCGGUGAAAUUUUUCAGCUCCACUGUAAAAGUGCCCUCGGAACCGGGUUCCUUUAGUGUAGAUGAAGGUGGCGGAAUUUGUGGUGUAGCGGUGAAAUGCAUAGAUAUCACGAGGAACUCCGAUUGCGCAGGCAGCUUACUAAACUACUACUGACGCUCAGGCACGAAGGCGUGGGGAUCAAACAGGAUUAGAUACCCUGGUAGUCCACGCAGUAAACGAUGAUUACUAGCUGUUUGCGAUACAAUGUAAGCGGCUGAGCGAAAGCGUUAAGUAAUCCACCUGGGGAGUACGGUCGCAAGGCUGAAACUUAAAGGAAUUGGCGGGG
rnacentral:rRNA from 1 species